rnacentral:tRNA from 1 species
UCCGUGGCAGUCCAGUGGUUAAGACUCUGUGCUUCCAAUGCAGGGGGCAUGGGUUCGAUCCCCGGUCAAGGAA